rnacentral:rRNA from 1 species
AUGGCGUCCACCUCCUCCUCCCUCGGCGCCAUCCUCCAGCGCUUCCCGCUCCUGGCGCCCCGCCCCGCCUCCCGCCGCGCGCCCACCGCCCGCCGCGCCGUCGCCAACAAGAUCUCCUGCAUCGGAUGGGACCCGGAGGGCAUCCUGGCGCCGCCGCAGCCGGGCCACAUCUCGCGCCUCGAGUUCCGGCGCCGCCUCGACAGCGACGCCGACGCGCGCGCCGCCUUCGACCUCCAGGUCAAGGAGGAGCAGGAGCGCCGCCGCAAGGAGCGCGAGGCGCGGGUGAUACCUGAGACGGACGCCGGGCUGGUGGAGUUCUUCCUGGACACGGACGCGCGGGAGAUCGAGAUCGAGAUCGGCAGGCUCCGCCCCAGGCUCAACAAGGCCUUCUUCGACCACAUCCAGCGCGAGAUCGCGCAGAUCAAAUUCGCGGUCACCAGGACAGCGGCGAAUGAAGACAGGCUGAUCGAGCUGGAGGCGAUGCAGAAGGUCAUCGGGGAGGGAGUUGAGGCCUACGACAAGCUUCAAAACGACCUCGUGACGGCCAAGGAGCGGCUCACCAACAUCCUGCAAUCCAAAGAUAGGAAGAAAACUCUGCUCGACAUGGUCGAACGGAACGAGCUCAACAUGUCCAUAUUGACGCUUCUCGACGAGAACAUAGCGAGCGCCAAGACGAGUAACCAGGAGGAGGCUGUGGCUUUCAUGGAGGAUGUGCGCUCCUCUAUGCUGAAAUACAUAACGGUAUAA